UGGGGAAUAUUGGACAAUGGGCGAAAGCCUGAUCCAGCCAUGCCGCGUGAGUGACGAAGGCCUUAGGGUUGUAAAACUCUUUCGUCGGGGACGAUAAUGACGGUACCCGAAGAAGAAGCUCCGGCUAACUUCGUGCCAGCAGCCGCGGUAAUACGAAGGGAGCUAGCGUUGUUCGGAAUCACUGGGCGUAAAGCGCACGUAGGCGGAUAGUUAAGUCAGGGGUGAAAUCCUGGGGCUCAACCCCAGAACUGCCUUCUAGACUGCAGGCCUGGAGGUCAGGAGAGGCGAGCGGAAUUCCGAGUGUAGAGGUGAAAUUCGUAGAUAUUCGGAGGAACACCAGUGGCGAAGGCGGCUCGCUGGACUGAUACUGACGCUGAGGUGCGAAAGCGUGGGGA
rnacentral:rRNA from 1 species